AAAGCCUGAUGCAGCAACGCCGCGUGAAGGAAGAAGGCUUUCAGUCGUAAACUUCUGUCCAAAGGGAAGAAUAAUGACGGUACCUUUGAAUAAAGUCCCGGCUAACUACGUGCCAGCAGCCGCGGUAAUACGUAGGGGGCGAGCGUUAUCCGGAAUUACUGGGCGUAAAGAGUAUGUAGGUGGUUAAGUAAGCGUAGGGUUUAAGGCGACAGCCCAACUGUCGUAUGCCCCGCGAACUGUUUAACUUGAGUACAGGAGGGGAAGGCGGAAUUCCUAGUGUAGCGGUGAAAUGCGUAGAUAUUAGGAGGAACACCAGUGGCGAAGGCGGCCUUCUGGACUGUAACUGACACUGAGAUACGAAAGCGUGGGUAGCAAACAGUGAUUAGAUACCCUGGUAGUCCACGCCGUAAACGAUGAGCACUAGGUGUCGGGCUCGCAAGAGUUCGGUGCCGGAGCAAACGCAUUAAGUGCUCCGCCUGGGGGUACGCACGCAAGUGUGAAACUCAAAGGAAUUGACGGGGGACCGCACAAGCAGCGGAGCAUGU
rnacentral:rRNA from 1 species